UUGGCAAACCAGACAGUCGCCGUCCAUAUGGAGGGAGGAAAGUCCGGACUACAUAGGGCAACGUGCCAGCUAACGGCUGGGAGGCGAAAGCCUACGACAAGUGCAGCAGAGAAUAGACCGCCUACAACCUCAUGGGUGUGGGUAAGGGUGAAACGGUGAGGUAAGAGCUCACCGCAUGACUGGUAACAGUUCAUGGCAAGGUAAACUCCACGUGUAGCAAGACCAAAUAGGUGUCCAAUGGGUUGCCCGCUCAGGAUACGGGUAGGUUGCUUGAACAUGUCAGUAAUGACAUGUCUAGAUGAAUGACUGUCCACGACAGAAUCCGGCUUAUCGGUUUGCCUUAAUU
rnacentral:RNase_P_RNA from 1 species